UACGUAGGGGCCUAGCGUUGUCCGGAUUUAUUGGGCGUAAAGAGCUCGUAGGCGGCUUGGUUAGUCAGGUGUGAAAUCUCCACGCUCAACGUGGAGGGGCCACCUGAUACUGCCAUGGCUUGAGUCCGGUAGGGGAGUGUGGAAUUCCCGGUGUAGCGGUGAAAUGCGCAGAUAUCGGGAGGAACACCAAUAGCGAAGGCAGCUCGCUGGGACGUAACUGACACUGAGGCGCGAAAGCGUGGGGAGCGAACAGG
rnacentral:rRNA from 1 species